rnacentral:rRNA from 1 species
AGAGUUUGAUCCUGGCUCAGAUUGAACGCUGGCGGUAUGCUUAACACAUGCAAGUCGAACGGUAACAGCAGAGCUUGCUCUGGCUGACGAGUGGCGGACGGGUGCGUAACGCGUGGGAAUCUACCUUGUAGUGGGGGAUAGCCCGGAGAAAUCCGGAUUAACACCGCAUAAUCUCUACGGAGGAAAAGGGGCCUCUUCUUGAAAGCUCCUGCUAUUAGAUGAGCCCGCGUUGGAUUAGCUUGUUGGUAGGGUAAUGGCCUACCAAGGCGACGAUCCAUAGCUGGUUUGAGAGGAUGAUCAGCCACACUGGGACUGAGACACGGCCCAGACUCCUACGGGAGGCAGCAGUGGGGAAUAUUGGACAAUGGGCGAAAGCCUGAUCCAGCAAUACCGCGUGUGUGAAGAAGGCCUGAGGGUUGUAAAGCACUUUCAAUAGAGACGAAAAGCUUAAGGUUAAUAACCUUGAGUCUUGACUUAACCUAUAGAAGAAGCACC